rnacentral:rRNA from 1 species
AUUGAACGCUGGCGGCAUGCCUUACACAUGCAAGUCGAACGGUAACAGGUCUUCGGAUGCUGACGAGUGGCGAACGGGUGAGUAAUACAUCGGAACGUGCCCGAUCGUGGGGGAUAACGAAGCGAAAGCUUUGCUAAUACCGCAUAAGAUCUAAGGAUGAAAGCAGGGGACCGCAAGGCCUUGCGCGAACGGAGCGGCCGAUGGCAGAUUAGGUAGUUGGUGGGAUAAAAGCUUACCAAGCCGACGAUCUGUAGCUGGUCUGAGAGGACGACCAGCCACACUGGGACUGAGACACGGCCCAGACUCCUACGGGAGGCAGCAGUGGGGAAUUUUGGACAAUGGGCGAAAGCCUGAUCCAGCCAUGCCGCGUGCAGGAUGAAGGCCUUCGGGUUGUAAACUGCUUUUGUACGGAACGAAAAGACUCUUUCUAAUAAAGAGGGUCCAUGACGGUACCGUAAGAGUAAGCACCGGCUAACUACGUGCCAGCAGCCGCCGUAA